GGCCCCUUGAAUUUUAAAAUAUAGGGGGUCGGGCCUGCCCGGUGAAGUAUUUCUUUAAACGGCCGCUGUAAUGGGUGCGAAGGUAGCAUAAUCUCUUGCCCUUUAAUUGGGGGAUUGUUGAAUGGUUUGACGAGGGUCCUUCUGUCUCAUAUUAAAAUAAUGAAAUUAACUUUUAAGUGAAAAGGCUUAAAUGUAAGGGUUAGACGAGAAGACCCCGUGGAGUUUUGCUAUGUUUUUAAUUUUUGAAGUUAAAUAACAUAGAUUUGGUUGGGGCAACAGAGGAGUAAAAAAAACCUCCAUCUUUACUAAUAACUUAUAGGAUCCGCUAGUGGGCGAUUAAAAGGAAAGUUACCCCGGGGAUAACAGCGUAAUCUUUUUUGAGAGUUCUUAUCGAAAAAAGGGUUUGCGACCUCGAUGUUGGAUUAGGACAUCCUCAGGGUGCAGCAGCUCUGAAAGGUGGGUCUGUUCGACCUUUAAAGUCCUACA
rnacentral:rRNA from 1 species